UCUGAAUUGAGCUCUGUUAAUAGGGUAGAAUCCGAGGCUCCUUUCGGGGUUACACAAGCUCUCCUACCCAACUCCUAUUUCGUCACGUCCUCGUCGUACAGUGUGGUAACUUUCCCCACCACAUAUCCAAGCUUGUGUACACGGGCCUGUCCCAACCCCUUAGGCGGAUGGUGGAAAAAGGCUAAACAGGAGGGG
rnacentral:ribozyme from 1 species